rnacentral:tRNA from 1 species
GGAGGGGUGGCCGAGUGGCUGAAGGCGACGGUUUGCUAAACCGUUAUAGGGAUAAAACCCUAUCGAGGGUUCGAAUCCCUCUCCCUCCGCCA